GUUGCACCGAAUUCUGAUUCUUAGGGUUUGGCCCAAUACCAAAUCCACUGGUUAAGAUUCUGCCGAAUCCAAAACCAAAUCCUACUCCCAUCCUCGGUCCAUUAACGCAGUAAACACAUUAAUGAAGUAAACAACGUCCACAGCCGUGUAUUUUUUGGUUAUUUUAUUUUAACC